UUUGAGAGUCUACAGUAUGCCU
rnacentral:piRNA from 1 species